rnacentral:lncRNA from 1 species
ACUUGGGAAGCAAACGCCCCGUUUCGUCGUCCUCGAAUUCCGACAAGCAGACGGCGCACUCCAAAAUGGGCUGCUGCCGAAACUGCUCCAUUUGACUCGAUUUGGACGAGUAAACGAAUACAGGGAGGGAAUUAAGGGUGGAGGCGUCAAGGCUGCGGGUGGGGACGGCGGAGAGGGCGGCCGCGUCCUCGUGAAAGACAAUAUGGGUGCGGCGGUUCCGGCGAUUGCGGCGGACAUGGAGGCGGCGGGCGCGGAGGAGGUACCAACGCGCGUAGAGGUGGAGGCAGAGCAUGAGGACGACGACGAAGAAGAGGAUGACGAUGGCGCUGAGCAUGAUCUUGCCGCUGAGCUCGUAGCCGUUGUAGGGCUGCAUCGGGGAGGCGUCGAGAUGGUCGGCGUGCGGGCGGCGGUCCAUGGUUGGAGUGCAGGGAAGGUGUUUGAUAAUGUGUGAGAGAAAG